rnacentral:rRNA from 1 species
CCAGCAGCUGCGGUAAUUCCAGCUCCAAUAGCGUAUAUUUAAGUUGUUGCAGUUAAAAAGCUCGUAGUUGGAUUUCGGGUGGGUUUUAGCGGUCCGCCUAUGGUGAGUACUGCUAUGGCCUUCCUUACUGUCGGGGACCUGCUUCUGGGCUUCAUUGUCCGGGACAGGGAUUCGGCAUGGUUACUUUGAGUAAAUUAGAGUGUUCAAAGCAGGCUUACGCCGUGAAUACUUUAGCAUGGAAUAACAUAAUAGGACUCUGCCCUAUUUUGUUGGCCUGUAGGAGUGGAGUAAUGAUUAAGAGGAACAGUCGGGGGCAUUCGUAUUUCAUUGUCAGAGGUGAAAUUCUUGGAUUUAUGAAAGACGAACUACUGCGAAAGCAUUUGCCAAGGAUGUUUUCAUUAAUCAAG